GGGCCUAUAGCUCAGCUUGGUUAGAGCGCACGCCUGAUAAGCGUGAGGUCGGUGGUUCAAGUCCACCUAGGCCCA
rfam:Desulfobulbus propionicus DSM 2032, complete genome.